CCUACGGGGGGCAGCAGUAGGGAAUUUUGCGCAAUGGGCGAAAGCCUGACGCAGCAACGCCGCGUGAUUGAUUAAGCCCUUCGGGGUGUAAAGAUCUGUCAGUGGGGACGAACCUUGACGGUACCCACUGAGUACGCACCGGCUAACUCCGUGCCAGCAGCCGUGGCAAUACGGAGGGUGGAAGCGUUGUCCGGAAUCAUUGGGCGUAAAGUGUUCGGAGGUGGUAUAGUUAGUCUGGUGUUAAAUGCAGGAGCCCAACUUCUGUUCGGCACUGGAUACUGGCAAACUUGAAUGCGAUAGAGGUAAAGGGAAUUCCAGGUGUAGCGGUGAAAUGCGUAGAUAUAAGGAAGAACAUCAGAGGCGAAAGCGGUUUACUGGGCCGUAAUUGACGCUGAGGAACGAAAGCCUGGGUAGCAAAUGGGAUUAGAUACCCGAGUAGUC
rnacentral:rRNA from 1 species